UACGGAGGGUGCAAGCGUUAUCCGGAUUCACUGGGUUUAAAGGGUGCGUAGGUGGAUUGGUAAGUCCGUGGUGAAAUCCCCGAGCUUAACUCGGGAACUGCCGUGGAUACUAUCAAUCUUGAAUACUGUGGAGGUAAGCGGAAUAUGUCAUGUAGCGGUGAAAUGCUUAGAUAUGACAUAGAACACCGAUAGCGAAGGCAGCUUACUACACAGUCAUUGACACUGAGGCGCGACGGCGUGGGGAGCGAACGGG
rnacentral:rRNA from 1 species